rnacentral:tRNA from 1 species
GCCCGGAUAGCUCAGUCGGUAGAGCAGAGGAGUGAAAAUCCUCGUGUCGGUGGUUCGAUUCCGCCUCCGGGCACCA